rnacentral:rRNA from 1 species
UACAGAGGGUGCAAACGUUGUUCGGGAUUACUGGGCGUAAAGCGCGUGUAGGCGGUCAUGUAAGUCGGGCGUGAAAUCCCACGGCUCAACCGUGGAAGUGCACUCGAAACUGCGUGACUACAGUCCUGGAGAGGAAGGUGGAAUGCUUGGUGUAGAGGUGAAAUUCGUAGAUAUCAAGCGGAACACCGGUGGCGAAGGCGGCCUUCUGGACAGUGACUGACGCUGAGACGCGAAAGCGUGGGGAGCAAACAGG